CCCUUAGAUGUUCUGGGCUGCACACGUGCUACACUGGCAGGUUCAGCGAGCUUCAUGCCCUGAUCUGAAAGGAAUGGGAAAUCUUUUCAAAACCUGCCGUGCUUGGGAUAGAUGUUUGCAAUUAUUCAUCUUCAACGAGGAUUGCCUUGUAAGCGCACGUCACCAGCGUGCAUUGAAUACGACCCUGUAUUCUGUACACACCGCCCGUCGCUCCUACCGAUUGAAUGCUCAGGUGAGCCAUUCGGACUUUCAUCAUGCUGGUUUCCAGUUUUGAUGAAGGAAAGUCUUGCGAACCUUAUCAUUUAGAGGAAGGAGAAGUCGUAACA
rnacentral:rRNA from 1 species